GUGCAGCAGGCGCGAAACUUUACAAUGUGCGAAAGCACGAUAAGGGAACUCUGAGUGCCUCCUAAGGAGGCUGUUCAGGUGUCUAAAAGCACCUGAAGGAAGGGCUGGGUAAGACCGGUGCCAGCCGCCGCGGUAACACCGGCAGCCCAAGUGGUAGCCACGUUUAUUGGGUCUAAAGCGUCCGUAGCCGGCUGGGUAAGUUCCUUGGGAAAUUUGGCUGCUUAACAGUCAAGCUUUCAGGGAAUACUGCCCGGCUUGGGACCGGGAGAGGUCAGAGGUACUCCAGGGGUAGGGGUGAAAUCCAUUAAUCCUUGGGGGACCACCGGUAGCGAAGGCGUCUGACCAGACCGGGUCCGACGGUGAGGGACGAAGGCUAGGGGCGCGAACCGGAUUAGAUACCCGGGGUAGU
rnacentral:rRNA from 1 species